rnacentral:rRNA from 1 species
UACGGGGGGGGUAAGCGUUGUUCGGAAUUACUGGGCGUAAAGGGCUCGUAGGCGGCCAACUAAGUCGGACGUGAAAUCCCUCAGCUUAACUGGGGAACUGCGUCCGAUACUGGAUGGCUUGGAUUUGGGAGAGGGAUGCGGAAUUCCAGGUGUAGCGGUGAAAUGCGUAGAUAUCUGGAGGAACACCGGUGGCGAAGGCGGCAUCCUGGACCAAUAUUGACGCUGAAGCGCGAAAGCUAGGGGAGCAAACGGG